ensembl:piRNA 21ur-8949 ncRNA
UUGUUGGCCUUCGAACGGAAC